UAUCGCAACUCCUACUUGACUACCCCCCCCAUUUAAGCAUAAUAAUAAUCAGAGGAGAAGAAAAAAACCCAGA
rnacentral:rRNA from 1 species